rnacentral:lncRNA from 1 species
UUUGGUGUGAUAAAUGAACACAUCUUUAUCUUGUGGUAACUUAACAAAUAUGAUCUGCAUCUACAUUUUAAAUGAUCUGCCAACUGUCUACAAGGACUAGCAGUCAAAAAGAAAAAGGAAAGCUUAUGAGGAACCCAUUUUAAUCAUUUUUAAAAGUUAUGUGAUGUUUAGAAGUCUUCAGCAAUAUAUAUGUAUCAGAACUUCAAUGUACAAAUGAAGACCAGCACUUUGCAACGGAAUCACAUUCUUAAGUUUCUACCUAGUAAUGUACAUGACUAUUUAAUUAUCAUGUGCCUAAACACUCGUAAAAGGUUCAAGUAUAACUUUCUGAAAUAUGGAGUAUUCAGCUUCACUAUUAGAUAGAGGGUAUGCUUUAUAUUAAUUUGUUAAUAAGAUCACCAGAGAUAAUGCUAUCAAAAUUGAAAAAAGAAAUGUUAUGAGAUUAAAAGGUCCAAAGCAACCAAAAAUCUGAUUUUUCAGAAAAAAUCAGCUCAUUCACUGGCACUCAGCAGUUCUCUAUUACCCAUGACAUUACAUCGAUCACCACCCCGCGAGGCAGUUAAGAAGGCACUUGGAAACUGAAAUUCCAAGUAAUUACUUGC